UACGGAAGGCAGCAGUGGGGAAUAUUGCACAAUGGGCGCAAGCCUGAUGCAGCCAUGCCGCGUGUAUGAAGAAGGCCUUCGGGUUGUAAAGUACUUUCAGUCGUGAGGAAGGUGUUAAGGUUAAUAACCUUAGCAAUUGACGUUAGCGACAGAAGAAGCACCGGCUAACUCCGUGCCAGCAGCCGCGGUAAUACGGAGGGUGCGAGCGUUAAUCGGAAUUACUGGGCGUAAAGGGCACGCAGGCGGUUAAUUAAGUUGGAUGUGAAAUCCCCGGGCUUAACCUGGGAAUGGCAUUCAAGACUGGUUAGCUAGAGUCUUGUAGAGGGGGUAGAAUUCCAUGUGUAGCGGUGAAAUGCGUAGAGAUGUGGAGGAAUACCGGUGGCGAAGGCGGCCCCUGGACAAAGACUGACGCUCAUGUGCGAAAGCGUGGGGAGCAAACAGGGAUUAGAUACCCA
rnacentral:rRNA from 1 species